AAUAGAUACCCCGGUAGUCCACGCCGUAAACGAUGAGUGCUAAGUGUUAGAGGGUUUCCGCCCUUUAGUGCUGAAGUUAACGCAUUAAGCACUCCGCCUGGGGAGUACGGCCGCAAGGCUGAAACUCAAAGGAAUUGACGGGGGCCCGCACAAGCGGUGGAGCAUGUGGUUUAAUUCGAAGCAACGCGAAGAACCUUACCAGGUCUUGACAUCCUCUGACAACCCUAGAGAUAGGGCUUCUCCUUCGGGAGCAGAGUGACAGGUGGUGCAUGGUUGUCGUCAGCUCGUGUCGUGAGAUGUUGGGUUAAGUCCCGCAACGAGCGCAACCCUUGAUCUUAGUUGCCAUCAUUCAGUUGGGCACUCUAAGGUGACUGCCGGUGACAAACCGGAGGAAGGUGGGGAUGACGUCAAAUCAUCAUGCCCCUUAUGACCUGGGCUACACACGUGCUACAAUGGACGGUACAAAGAGCUGCAAGACCGCGAGGUGGAGCUAAUCUCAUAAAAACCGUUCUCAGUUCGGA
rnacentral:rRNA from 1 species